AAAGGGUUGUUUCUGUUUUUGUUUUGGAGUUGUAAUUGAUGGUUGAUGUGUGUUAGUUUCUGAGAAGAAGGGGGUUACUGUUAUGAUUGUUUGUUGACUAUGUUUGAAUCUGUGAUAAUUUUGUCUAAUUGACCACCCCUUUUUAAAAAAAUUACCAAACUUUGCCCAGUGUUGGAGUAAUUGUUUCUUUGGAUUCUUCUUGUUUAUGGGGCGGGCAAGGUUGGGGGGCUUUGUCAUGGGUCCUUAAGAUUUG
rnacentral:misc_RNA from 1 species